rnacentral:rRNA from 1 species
UACGUAGGGGGCUAGCGUUGUCCGGAUUUAUUGGGCGUAAAGGAGCGUGUAGGCGGCCAGGUAGGUCUGCUGUGAAACUCGAGGCUCAACCUCGAGACGUCGGCAGAAACCUCUGGCUAGAGUCCGGAAGAGGGAGAGUGGAAUUCCUGGUGUAGGCGGUGAAAUGCGCAGAGUAUCAAGGAAGAACACCCGUGGCGAAGGCGGCUCUCUGGGCAGUAACUGACGGCUGAGGAGCGAAAGGCGUGGGGAGGCGAACAGG